CAGAACUAUACUUUCAAGGAAUCAUUUUCUAUAGCUUGCCACUAGAGAAGCUUUUCUGGACAUGUAAAGCACCGGCAACUGCGAGGAGACGCAGUGUUCUCUCCUGAGCCUGAAACCAGCAGUUGGUGUUGCUUUGCUGCAGCUGCUGUUUGCCAUUGAUGGAUGAUUCUUCUCUUCCUCUGGGAGAGCAAGCAGGAAAGGACACAGUCUGAGUGGU
rfam:Pongo abelii chromosome 17, whole genome shotgun sequence.